rnacentral:rRNA from 1 species
AGAGUUUGAUCCUGGCUAAGGAUGAACGCUAGCGACAGGCUUAACACAUGCAAGUCGAGGGGCAGCGAGAAAGUGCUUGCACUUUUGUCGGCGACCGGCGCACGGGUGAGUAACACGUAUGCAACCUGCCCUUGUCAGGGGGAUAAGCGGGGGAAACCCCGUCUAAUACCGCAUAUAUGAUUUGGAGGCAUCUUUAAAUCAGGAAAGAAUUAUCGGACAAGGAUGGGCAUGCGGGACAUUAGGUAGUUGGGGGUGUAACGGACCACCAAGCCGACGAUGUCUAGGGGUUCUGAGAGGAAGGUCCCCCACACUGGUACUGAGACACGGACCAGACUCCUACGGGAGGCAGCAGUGAGGAAUAUUGGUCAAUGGGCGAGAGCCUGAACCAGCCAAGUCGCGUGAGGGACGACGGUACUAAGUAUUGUAAACCUCUUUUGUCAGGGAACAAAGAGACCACGAGUGGUAAGAUGAGUGUACCUGAAGAAAAAGCAUCGGCUAACUCCGUGCCAGCAGCCGCGGUAAUACGGAGGAUGCGAGCGUUAUCCGGAUUUAUUGGGUUUAAAGGGUGCGUAGGCGGUAUGACAAGUCAGCGGUUAAAUGUCGGGGCUCAACCUCGGCCUGCCGUUGAAACUGUUGUACUAGAGAGAAUGAGAAGUAUGCGGAAUGCGUGGUGUAGCGGUGAAAUGCUUAGAUAUCACGCAGAACUCCGAUUGCGAAGGCAGCAUGCCGGCAUUUAUCUGACGCUGAGGCACGAAAGCGUGGGGAUCGAACAGGAUUAGAUACCCUGGUAGUCCACGCAGUAAACGAUGAAUGCUAGAUGUUCGAUGGGAUUAACUGUUGAGUGUCACAGCGAAAGCGUUAAGCAUUCCACCUGGGGAGUACGCCGGCAACGGUGAAACUCAAAGGAAUUGACGGGGGCCCGCACAAGCGGAGGAACAUGUGGUUUAAUUCGAUGAUACGCGAGGAACCUUACCCGGGCUCAAACGACAGGGGAAUAUAUGUGAAAGCAUAUAGCUAGCAAUAGUCGCUGUCGAGGUGCUGCAUGGUUGUCGUCAGCUCGUGCCGUGAGGUGUCGGCUUAAGUGCCAUAACGAGCGCAACCCCUGUCUUUAGUUACUAACAAGUAAAGUUGAGGACUCUAGAGAGACUGCCGGCGCAAGCCGUGAGGAAGGAUGGGAUGACGUCAAAUCAGCACGGCCCUUACGUCCGGGGCGACACACGUGUUACAAUGGUCGGCACAGCGGGAAGCCAUAUGGUGACAUAGAGCGGAACCCGAAAGCCGGUCUCAGUUCGGAUCGGAGUCUGCAACUCGACUCCGUGAAGCUGGAUUCGCUAGUAAUCGCGCAUCAGCCAUGGCGCGGUGAAUACGUUCCCGGGCCUUGUACACACCGCCCGUCAAGCCAUGGGAGCCGGGGGCACUUGAAGUGCGUAGCCGCGAGGCGCGUCCUAGAGUGAAACUGGUGACUGGGGCUAAGUCGUAACAAGGUAGCC